rnacentral:rRNA from 1 species
UACGUAGGGGGCUAGCGUUGUCCGGAUUUAUUGGGCGUAAAGAGCUCGUAGGUGGUUCGGUAAGUCGGAUGUGAAAUCUCCAGGCUCAACCUGGAGGGGUCAUUCGAUACUGCCGUGACUAGAGUUCGGUAGGGGAGACUGGAAUUCCUGGUGUAGCGGUGAAAUGCGCAGAUAUCAGGAGGAACAUCGGUGGCGAAGGCGGGUCUCUGGGCCGAUACUGACGCUGAGGAGCGAAAGCGUGGGGAGCGAACAGG